rnacentral:rRNA from 1 species
UGGGGAAUAUUGCGCAAUGGGCGAAAGCCUGACGCAGCGACGCCGCGUGAGGGAUGAAGGUUUUCGGAUCGUAAACCUCUGUCAGAAGGGAAGAAACCGCACUGUGCUAAUCAGCAGUGCCUUGACGGUACCUUCAAAGGAAGCACCGGCUAACUCCGUGCCAGCAGCCGCGGUAAUACGGAGGGUGCAAGCGUUAAUCGGAAUUACUGGGCGUAAAGCGCACGUAGGCUGCUUUGUAAGUCAGGGGUGAAAUCCCACGGCUCGACCGUGGAACUGCCUUUGAUACUGCUUAGCUUGAAUCCGGGAGAGGGUGGCGGAAUUCCAGGUGUAGGAGUGAAAUCCGUAGAUAUCUGGAGGAACAUCAGUGGCGAAGGCGGCCACCUGGACCGGUAUUGACGCUGAGGUGCGAAAGCGUGGGGAGCAAACAGG